rnacentral:rRNA from 1 species
AUUUGGAGAGGGUGCUUCGGGGCGCGCCGCCGGUCCGAGUGCCUUGGAACAGGCCGCCGUGGAGGGUGAGAGCCCCGUACGCGGCCGGCGGACCGUCCCCGCGCGAAGCCCUUUCGACGAGUCGAGUUGUUUGGGAAUGCAGCUCCAAGCGGGUGGUAAAUUCCAUCUAAAGCUAAAUACAGGCCGGAGACCGAUAGCGCACAAGUAGAGUGAUCGAAAGAUGAAAAGCACCUUGAAAAGGGGGUCAAACAGCACGUGAAAUUGCUGAGAGGGAAGCGCUGGCCCCCAGACCUGCUUCGCGGGCGAUCCCCGGCGGCCUCCGCGCCGCGGGGGCUCCACGCCCGCGUUCAGGCCAGCACGGGUCCGGGCGGCGGGACAAAGCGCCCGGGAAUGUAACUCCCUCCGGGGAGCCUUAUAGCCCAGGCGGUCAUGCCGCCCGCCCGGACCGAGGACCGCGCUGCGGCGAGGGUGCUGGCGUAAUGGGGGUCAGCGACCCGUCUUGAAACACGGACCAAGGAGUCUAACGUCCCCGCGAGUGUUCGGGCGUCAAACCCCCGGCGCGGAAUGAAAGUGAACGGAGGUGGGAGCCCCGCGAGGGGCGCACCAUCGACCGAUCCAGAUGUCUUCGGAUGGAUUUGAGUACGAGCGCGGCCGUUGGGACCCGAAAGAUGGUGAACUAUGCCUGGGUAGGGUGAAGCCAGAGGAAACUCUGGUGGAGGCUCGCAGCGGUUCUGACGUGCAAAUCGAUCGUCAAACCUGGGCAUAGGGGCGAAAGACUAAUCGAACCAUCUAGUAGCUGGUUCCUGUCGAAGUUUCCCUCAGGAUAGCAGUCGCGCGGGCGGUUUUAUGAGGUAAAGCGAAUGAUUAGAGGCCUUGGGGGUGCAACACCCUUAACCUAUUCUCAAACUUUAAAUAUGUAAGAAGCCCCUGUUGCUUCGGUGAACGGGGCGUGC